AACGCACCUUGCGCCCCUUGGUAUUCCGAGGGGCAUGCCUGUUUGAGUGUCAUUAAAUUCUCAACCUCACAAGUUUUGUAGCUUCUGAGGCUUGGAUUGUGGAGGCUUGCUGGCAUCUAAGAUGCAUUUGGCUCCUCUUAAAAGCAUUAGUAGAAACCAAUUGUUGGACUACCUUUGGUGUGAUAAUUAUCUACGCCUUGGUGUUCUAUCUGACAAAAGGGUCUCUUUGGUUGGGAUAGUUGCAAACGAGAGUUUGCUCUGUCUGUUUUAACUGUCAAAAGAGGCUUUGGGGUGUCUGCUCUCUAACUGUCUGUUUGACGGACAACUAAUUGAUUUGUUUGACCUCAAAUCAGGUAGGACUACCCGCUGAACUUAA
rnacentral:misc_RNA from 1 species